CGCCGCACUCUGAAGGGGAAAUCAGAUAUACGGAGCUUUUUUGCCCGACGACCACCGAUCCAAUUCCCGUUUUUUCGCACAAAAUGUCUCCGAGGCGAUGUUAAGAUGUCGUUUUCGGGGAGAGGACGUUGUCAUAUCGCGAUCGGCUGUGGAGGGGGAGGGGCCGCGCAAUCACGCCCUACGUGCAAACAGCGCCCGUGUCCGCCACGAGGGGCGCUCCAGCACCGCGAGACACGCAGGCGAGCGCCCUACAGUCGCUUCAGUCAUUUGGGCUGUAGAGCAGCAGCAGCAGUGCAACCCCCGUAGCAGUUGCCAGGACUGAGCGCAUCCAGAAACUAAGCUGACAGAAGUUACAAUACUGGAUGAUGGCCAGGAUGGUGGCACAGCACAGGAACAUGGUCACC